rnacentral:rRNA from 1 species
GAUGAACGCUGGCGGCGUGCCUAAUACAUGCAAGUCGAGCGAACAGACGAGGAGCUUGCUCCUUUGACGUUAGCGGCGGACGGGUGAGUAACACGUGGAUAACCUACCUAUAAGACUGGGAUAACUUCGGGAAACCGGAGCUAAUACCGGAUAACAUAUUGAACCGCAUGGUUCAAUAGUGAAAGACGGUUUUGCUGUCACUUAUAGAUGGAUCCGCGCCGCAUUAGCUAGUUGGUAAGGUAACGGCUUACCAAGGCAACGAUGCGUAGCCGACCUGAGAGGGUGAUCGGCCACACUGGAACUGAGACACGGUCCAGACUCCUACGGGAGGCAGCAGUAGGGAAUCUUCCGCAAUGGGCGAAAGCCUGACGGAGCAACGCCGCGUGAGUGAAGAAGGUCUUCGGAUCGUAAAACUCUGUUAUUAGGGAAGAACAAAUGUGUAAGUAACUAUGCACGUCUUGACGGUACCUAAUCAGAAAGCCACGGCUAACUACGUG